GGCUGAGAAAUACUUAAAGAAAUGUAUAACAACCUUAUUUAUCACAGGAAUGAAAAUCAAAAUUACUUUGAAAUUCCAUUUUACAUCUGUAAGAAUGGCUAAGAUCAAUAACACUAGUGCCAGUUCAUGCAGGCAAGGAUAUGGAAUAAAGUGAACACUCAUCCAUUGCUGUUGAGAGUACAAAAACUGCUCAGAGGCUAUCAUCUUCUGCUUAAGGAAGCCAAUGUCUACCACAUUUCCAAUUUAAUAAUAGAUUCUCCAUCUAUAACCAACCCAUAAUCCCUCUCAUUUGUACCUCACAAUUCUUUUUGCAUUUCAAUAAGUGGCUAAAUAAAUAACACAAGUGACUAUUCAUUCUGGCAAGGAUGUGGAACAGGGGAACACUCCUUGAUUUCUGGGGGAAGUAUAAAUUUGUACAACCCCUAUGAAAAUCAAUAUGGCACUUCCUCAGAAAACUGGCAAGCCAUUGACCUCAGGACUCAAUUAUACCACUCAGGUAUAUACACAAAGGAUAAGCAAUCCUAAUACAAGGUCACUUAUUGGACUAUGAUUGUUGCAAUUUUUUUUGCAUAGUAGCAAGAAACAAACAAACAAACAAACAAACAAAAAUAGGACAAGUCCCUUCCAGUUGGCACCAGUACCAAGUCACCUUGGGUGCAGAGUAGGCAGACACCCCCCAAGGUCCCUAGAGGACUCUCCACACUAUCUUAGGACCACUGACCAGACAGCUCCACGUUCCUCAAAGAAGACACCACUUCCAGGCACUGUAACACACCCAGGAUCUUUGACAACAGGAUCCCAGGAUAAAAGGAGCUUGGUCACACCGUAUUUCAGGGUCUCAGAGGAACUUGACUGCCAAGAACUCUGACAAACCCAGAAUCUCAGGAUCACAGGAGCCCGCAAGCAACGGAUAACAGAGAAAGCUGGACUCUGAGGAGUCCUGAAUCAACUGGGAUUAUAGGAAGGAGAGACUUCAAUCAGAUAUAUUGAGGAAAGCAAAUACUUGAGAUAAUCAGAUGGCAGGAGGCCAGCAUAAGAACAGAAACAACAGAAAACAAGGUUACUUGGCAUCAUCAGAACCAAACUCUCCCACCAUAACAAGUCCUGGAUAAAUGAUCACAUCAGAAAAGCAAGAUAUGGAUCUAAAGUCACUUCUUAUGAUGAUGACAGAGGACCUUAAGAAGGAAAUAUUAAAAAAAAAACACACACACACACACACACACACACACAGGUAAACAGAAGCCUUUAAAGAGAAAACACAAAAAUGCCUUAGAGAGAUACAGGAAAACAAUAACAAACAGGAGAUGGAAUUGAACAAAACCAUCCAGGAUCUAAAAAGUGAAUUAUCAACAAAGAAAAUCCAAAGGGAGACAACUCUGGAGAUAGAAACCCUAGG
rnacentral:lncRNA from 1 species